UUUGUUUUUUUUGAAGAUUUUUUUAUACCUUUAGUAAUCCAUGGACAUAUUUUAUUAUAGGGAAGUGCUUUUUUUAUAGGGAAGUGCUUAUCAUAGUGCUUUAAGAAUAUUUCUAUAAAUUCAUUAUAAGCGGAGUUGGUAUGCCAAAGGUUGCAUUCUUGGUACAUCCUGUCCACUUCACUGCCGAUAAAAAAGUAUAUCGAAAAGUGAUCGAAUAUAUCCGUUUUGAUUACAUCUGCUUUUAAUGAAGUAUCAUAAAACGAAUUAGUCAAUAUGAUGUCUAUUGCAGUGAUUGAAUUUAAUGUUAUCAGAGUUGGUUUGUUUACUAUAGGAAAUAUGUACUGUUGAAACAUAUCGUCAAAAAAAGUUUUGGUAUCAGCAUAUUAAUUGUAAUGUAGAAAGUUUAUAUUUAUGUCCCCAAUACAGAAUAAUAUUUUA